GCGGUGGCGGCCCGGUCGUGCUCUGAGGUCGCCGGUGCCCGUCGCUGCCCGCCGCCGAGGAGCGAGCGCUUGUGCUGCCGGACUCUGCGGGUCCCCGCAUGCUGCUGCCGGUCCCGCCGCUGCUCCGCCCGCCUGUCCACCGCGUCCGUGCCUUGGGCCUCCCGCCCGUUCGCGCUCUCAUGAACCUCCGGGAGCUCGUGUCUGCCCUGAAUGACUUCGCAUCCCCCGCUCUGGCUGAAAGCUGGGAUAAUGUGGGGUUGCUGGUGGAACCAAGUCCUCCCCACACUGUGAAAACCCUUUUCCUCACUAACGACCUCACUGAGGAGGUGAUGGAAGAGGCAGUGCAGAAGAAAGCAGACCUCGUUCUUUCUUACCACCCUCCUAUAUUCACACCACUCAAGCGAGUAACGUGGAAAACCUGGAAGGAACGGCUGGUGGUCCGAGCCCUGGAGAACAGAAUCGGGAUUUAUUCUCCACAUACGGCGUACGAUGCCAUACCUCACGGAGUUAAUAACUGGCUAACAAAGGGACUCGGUGCCUGUACUUCUGUCCCACUGCAUCCAUCGACUGCACCAAGCUCUCCAGCUGAAGGCACUCACCGGGUAGAAUUCUGUGCAGAUGCUGAGCAUCUGGAUGCAGUGCUGUUCAAAAUCAAAGACAUCCCAGAGAUCUCUUGUCUCACUACUCUCCCAGCCAGGGUUGAAGGUGAGGAGCAAACACGAGUCAGUUUGAACUGCUCUCAGAAAGCACUGCUGGAGGUGGUGGCAUUAUUGUCCCAGAACAGCCUUCUUCAUCACAAGACCGAGAUUCUCUUGCUACAAAAGCCUCCUCUUCCCCAUACUGGAAUGGGACGCCUGUGCACCCUGAGCGAGCCAGCCUCCUUGUCAGACAUAAUCGAGCGUAUCAAAGGCCACCUGCAGCUACCCCACGUCCGCGUAGCCGUGGGAACGGGCAGGACACUCGGUACAUGGGCCUGCGAGCCAGACUGCCUGCUAGGACGGGCACUGCAGGAACACAGGGAGCAUGAGUGUGUGCAUUACACUGGGAAACUGUCUUCAGCAGAAUCACCAGUGAAGAAAGCUGCUCUGUGUGCUGGUUCUGGGAGCAGUGUCCUGAAGGGAACGGAAGCUGACCUCUAUCUCACAGGUAUGGGUGAUUAAAGGAGGUCGCUUCGGCCAUAUCAUCUGACCUGGACUUACGUCGUGAUUUUGCCGUUCUCUGGGGGAUAACAGCAACAUCUGGUGACCAAGCGACGUGUACCGAAGACCACAAACCGGACUUUAGAAAGGUGCGUGCCACCCCCCCAACUCCGGCUGGCCUCCCUCUGGGGCCGCGCGGAACACAGACUGAGCCAUGGAGCAGAAAUCCUCUUGGAACUGCGCGGUAUUUUCCACCUUCAAGUCUGUGAUACUGACCGCAGGAGCUACCGUAGGAGGUGGCGAGCUCGCUGCGUUACUGGACUGGUUGCUUCUGCAUGGAUAUUAUGCGGAGACUGAUAGUGACUUGACCUCGGAAGCUUGGAGACGGCUGGGAGACGCGGUACUCCGGGAAUUCGCAGCCGGUAACGCCGAGUUAACAAUGCUGAACCUGCAAAGAGGUAUCAAUGGAAGCUUCUACCUCAGGGCAUGAAGAACAGCCCGACUAUCUGCCAAUGGUAUGUCGCUCAGGCUUUGUCCGGAGUCCGUGAGCAGUUUCCUGAGGCAUGCUGCUACCAUUACAUGGAUGAUAUACUGGUGGCAGCAAAUUCAAACAAUCCUGUUAUUUUGAAUCAUUUUCUCUCAUUGCAGUCUGCAGGCGAGAUGCACCUGCCUCGAGCGAAAGUCUGGGUACGGGACCUCCUCACUAAGAAGUGGGAAGGCCCACACGAGCUCAUUGCUUGGGGUCGUGGGUAUGCUUGCGUUUCCACAGAUACUGGGGUACGAUGGCUGCCUGCGAGCUGCGUUCUCCCUGACCUGUGGCACCAGAAGCAGAACAGGCAACCUCCAAGGCAACCCUCAAAUGAUGACCAGAAUGCAGAUCAACCACUGAAUGAUUCUUCAGAUGAUGACCAGGAUGUUGACCCUCAGCCUGGUCCUUCUACAAGCAGAGACUGAAUUUUAAGAGAGACUGAAUUUUAAGUUUCUUGUGUUAUGGAGUCAGAAUGUUACGCAGAAUACAGAGCCCUUAAGGCUAUUCAGAAUUAAUGACUGGACGUAUAGCUGGGUUCACUAGAUGUAUUUCUCAUGGCAUUGCUGAAGAAUCCCUCUGCCUGCCUUAAAUUAGUAUCUGGUUUGGAUUAUGUUUGGUAACUGGCCAUUACUAAACAGACCCCUUACGCUGUGUUUGUUCUCCUUGCUGCACGGGAUCCCACAGAGGAUUACAAACGUGACCUUUCGGUCCUUUUAAAACAAAAAAGGGGAAUUGUGGAUGCUAGCAAGGGCUAGCAGAGGAAUGUUCCUGUGAAACUUUUCCUUCUCAUAAGAAAGCAGUUAGAGAAAUCCAGCUUCUCACAGCUUCUCCGUGAAAGCUUUCAUUCUCAUGCAAACUGGAUGGACAACAGUUUAAGAGAAUGUAAAUCAUUUCUACACCUGCAAGUUGUUUUGAGAACUGUGAAAAUUAUUUUCCUUCUCUAAGAAUAAUAUCUGGAAAUGGGUGUCUUACUGCUCAACCUAUCACCUUGGGAGGUGGUGAGUCAAUAGGCCAAUCAUGUAAUUUCUCUUUUGUGAACCAUGCUAUAAAAGGUAUGGGUGAUUAAACAAGGUCACUUCGGCCAUAUCAUCUGACCUGGACUUACGUCGUGAUUUCGCCGGUCUCUUGGGGGUAACAGCGACAGUUGGUUCUAGUAAUUCAACUGCAUGAUCUACCGCUAAUGCACCUUUAAGGCUUUUCAAUAGAGGGACUCUCAAUUAAAAAAAGCUUUGGAAGGUUAAAACUCAAUUCCUUAACAAAGCUGUAAAUUCAUGUGCCUUUGUUAUUUUCUUUUAAAAACAGUUUCUGUAACUGUGUUUUUUAAUUACAGGAUUACUAAAACUGAACAAGUAGUAUUUUCACCACUGAGUUUUAUUUUCCAAGUUAGUUUUUUCUGUUGUGACUUUUUUUUAAGAAAAAAAAAAUCUCACAGUAUCAUACCCUACCAUCUCUGGAUGACAAAUAUUUUAUUAGAAAUUUGGAAAGAUCUUAGCACUAUCCUUUUAAGUUAAUAAAAGUUGCUCAUCAAGCAA